rnacentral:sRNA from 1 species
UGCUGAGAGGUGAGGUAGUUGGUGCGAAACGAUCGACAACAUUUCCAUCUUUGUCAACCAAGAACUUUGCGAAGUUCCACUUAAUGCCGUCUCCAAAGAGCCCGCCUUUGCUUGAUUUCAGAAACUUGUA